rnacentral:rRNA from 1 species
UACGGAGGGGGCUAGCGUUGUUCGGAAUUACUGGGCGUAAAGCGCACGUAGGCGGUUUUUUAAGUCAGAGGUGAAAGCCCGGAGCUCAACUCCGGAAUUGCCUUUGAGACUGGGAGACUUGAAUCCAGGAGAGGUGAGUGGAAUUCCGAGUGUAGAGGUGAAAUUCGUAGAUAUUCGGAAGAACACCAGUGGCGAAGGCGGCUCACUGGACUGGUAUUGACGCUGAGGUGCGAAAGCGUGGGGAGCAAACAGG